rnacentral:rRNA from 1 species
GCAAGUCGAACGAAGCACUUUGAUCGAUUUCUUCGGAUUGAAAUUUUAGUGACUGAGUGGCGGACGGGUGAGUAACGCGUGGGUAACCUGCCUCACACAGGGGGAUAACAGUUGGAAACGGCUGCUAAUACCGCAUAAGCGCACAGUACCGCAUGGUACAGUGUGAAAAACUCCGGUGGUGUGAGAUGGACCCGCGUCUGAUUAGCUAGUUGGCAGGGCAACGGCCUACCAAGGCGACGAUCAGUAGCCGACCUGAGAGGGUGACCGGCCACAUUGGGACUGAGACACGGCCCAAACUCCUACGGGAGGCAGCAGUGGGGAGUAUUGCACAAUGGGGGAAACCCUGAUGCAGCGACGCCGCGUGAGCGAAGAAGUAUUUCGGUAUGUAAAGCUCUAUCAGCAGGGAAGAAGAAAUGACGGUACCUGACUAAGAAGCACCGGCUAAAUACGUGCCAGCAGCCGCGGUAAUACGUAUGGUGCAAGCGUUAUCCGGAUUUACUGGGUGUAAAGGGAGCGCAGGCGGAAGGCUAAGUCUGAUGUGAAAGCCCGGGGCUCAACCCCGGUACUGCAUUGGAAACUGGUCAUCUAGAGUGUCGGAGGGGUAAGUGGAAUUCCUAGUGUAGCGGUGAAAUGCGUAGAUAUUAGGAGGAACACC